rnacentral:rRNA from 1 species
CACGUAGGGGGCAAGCGUUGUCCGGAUUUAUUGGGCGUAAAGAGCUCGUAGGCGGUUCGGUAAGUCGGGUGUGAAACCUCCAGGCUCAACCUGGAGACGCCACCCGAUACUGCUGUGACUAGAGUCCGGUAGGGGAGCGUGGAAUUCCUGGUGUAGCGGUGAAAUGCGCAGAUAUCAGGAGGAACACCGGUGGCGAAGGCGGGUCUCUGGGCAACAACUGACGCUGAGGAGCGAAAGCGUGGGGAGCGAACAGG